UCCCCCUGUCCCCCCCCUCCACAAGCUGCCCCCACAGGAGAACGAGCAGACCAUGGAGUACUUCACACAGCAGGUGCUGCUGCUGAGGGAGAAAGCAAUGCUCCACAGCUCUGUGAGGAGGAGAAGAAGCUGCUGGUGGAGAACGCCCGUCUGAAGAAGGACAUCUCAGACCUGAAGACCCAACUACACACCAGCCAGAGGAAGAGGCUAGCUAAAGCACUGUUCAGUCCUGCUCCUGCCCUGCCUCCACAUCUGCUUCUGCUCUAAACCUGCCCGUUCCUCCAGAACCGGUCCUGCCUCCACACCUGCCUCCACACCUGCCCCUGCCUCUACACCUGCCCCCGCCUCCACACCUGCCUCUGCCUCUACACCUGCCCCCGCCUCCACACCUGCCUCUGCCUCCACACCUGCCUCACGGAGAGAGAGAAACAGCCGGAGGAGGAGAGGAAACACAGCAGGCCAGACACACACACACACGUAAACACACACACCUCACCACACACACCUCACCACACACACCUCACCACACACACCUCAACACAUACCAGACAUGGUACAGAGGAUGGAUCAAAUAAAUGUACAACUUUUGAAAA